UUUGAUCGUCAGCUCAUAUGGAACAAAUAUGGAUCGGAUAUUAAUGAUAUCCAAAUUUGCAUCAAUUCAGAUAUAUUCGGCUAACCAGUAUGGAUCCAGAUGAGAAAUUGAGUAUUGUGCAAGAAAAAAUCACCUAUAUAGGAAUCGGUUUACGCAUGUGUACACCUUUCUAUUCUCAAAAAUGCGUCGGUGCAACUGGAGUUCAAUUAAACAUCAAUUUGGACUUCUGAUAUCCACCAGGGCAAGGCAGCCGAGAUAUGUGGUUGAUGGU
rnacentral:lncRNA from 1 species